AGAGUUUGAUCCUGGCUCAGGAUGAACGCUAGCGACAGGCUUAACACAUGCAAGUCGAGGGGCAGCGGGGGCGUAGCAAUAUGCCUGCCGGCGACCGGCGCACGGGUGAGUAACACGUAUGUAACCUGCCCUAUGCAGGGGGAUAACCCGGAGAAAUCCGGCCUAAUACCGCGUAACACCUUAGGGGAGCAUUCUCUUGAGGUUAAAGGAGAGAUCCGGCAUAGGAUGGACAUGCGUCGCAUUAGGUAGACGGCGGGGUAACGGCCCACCGUGCCGACGAUGCGUAGGGGUUCUGAGAGGAAGGCCCCCCACACUGGUACUGAGACACGGACCAGACUCCUACGGGAGGCAGCAGUGAGGAAUAUUGGUCAAUGGCCGAGAGGCUGAACCAGCCAAGUCGCGUGAGGGAAGAAUGUCCUAAGGAUUGUAAACCUCUUUUGUCGGGGAGCAAAAAGGCUCUGCGGAGUCGUAUUGAGAGUACCCGAAGAAAAAGCAUCGGCUAACUCCGUGCCAGCAGCCGCGGUAAUACGGAGGAUGCGAGCGUUAUCCGGAUUUAUUGGGUUUAAAGGGUGCGCAGGCGGCGUGUCAAGCAAGCGGUAAAAUAGCGGGGCUCAACCCCGUCGAGCCGUUUGAACUGGCGCGCUUGAGUUCAGGCGAGGUAGGCGGAAUUUGUGGUGUAGCGGUGAAAUGCAUAGAUAUCACGAAGAACUCCGAUUGCGAAGGCAGCUUACCAGUCUGCGACUGACGCUCAGGCACGAAAGUGUGGGUAUCGAACAGGAUUAGAUACCCUGGUAGUCCACACAGUAAACGAUGAGCGCUAGGUGUCCGGGUCGCAUGAGACUUGGGUGCCCGAGCGAAAGCGUUAAGCGCUCCACCUGGGGAGUACGCCGGCAACGGUGAAACUCAAAGGAAUUGACGGGGGCCCGCACAAGCGGAGGAACAUGUGGUUUAAUUCGAUGAUACGCGAGGAACCUUACCCGGGCUCAAACGACUCAGGAAUAUAUUGGAAACGAUGUAGCCAGCAAUGGUCUGAGUCGAGGUGCUGCAUGGUUGUCGUCAGCUCGUGCCGUGAGGUGUCGGCUUAAGUGCCAUAACGAGCGCAACCCCUACCGCCAGUUGCCAACGGGUAAAGCCGGGAACUCUGGCGGGACUGCCGGCGCAAGCUGCGAGGAAGGCGGGGAUGACGUCAAAUCAGCACGGCCCUUACGUCCGGGGCGACACACGUGUUACAAUGGCAGGUACAGCGGGAAGCCACCUGGUGACAGGGAGCGGAACCCGAAAGCCUGUCUCAGUUCGGAUUGGAGUCUGCAACUCGACUCCAUGAAGCUGGAUUCGCUAGUAAUCGCGCAUCAGCCAUGGCGCGGUGAAUACGUUCCCGGGCCUUGCACACACCGCCCGUCA
rnacentral:rRNA from 1 species